rnacentral:lncRNA from 1 species
CUCUCCCAGCACCUCCAACGCCAAACUCCUCGAGACAUGAAACUUGUGAUAGCUAUGGUGGAGAGUCUGAGCUCUCUGAAUUCUCCACGAGUAGAUAUUCCGGGGGAGUUUCUGAUUUCGGAUCACAGUGUACAUCAUUAGAGGAACUGAUGAAUGUCACAGAUACAGUAACAAGACAGGGGAUUUCCAUAGACCUGGAGACUUAUAAUACUGGACAAUUUGAUAAUCACAAUCAACAAGACGAGACACUAAGAACAAGCGAUGCAGGUUCAACUCAUUCAUUACCUGAAUUAAACGCAAUGGCGGAUUUCCUAUGUUUAGAUGAUUGGCCCGAGCAAACACACAAAACAGAAUCCGAGCAACAUCAGAGUUCAGCUUCCGGUUGGG